CCUGCCCUCUGUCUUCCAGAGAGUUUACCUCUCAUUCAGGGGCCAGUGGGUUUGGAUCAAAGGUUUUCACUAAAACAGAUUGAAGCACUAGAGUGUGCAUAUGAUAAUCUUUGUCAAACAGAAGGAGUCACAGCUCUUCCUUACUUCUUAAUCAAGUAUGAUGAGAACAUGGUGCUGGUUUCCUUGCUUAAACACUACAGUGAUUUCUUCCAAGGUCAAAGGACGAAGAUAACAAUUGGUGUAUAUGAUCCCUGUAACUUAGCCCAGUACCCUGGAUGGCCUUUGAGGAAUUUUUUGGUCCUAGCAGCCCACAGAUGAUUGUCCUAAAGCAGUUGGAUGGGAAAAGAACCAGAAAGGAGGCAUGGGACCAAGGAUGGUGAACCUCAGUGAAUGUAUGGACCCUAAAAGGUUAGCUGAGUCAUCAGUGGAUCUAAAUCUCAAACUGAUGUGUUGGAGAUUGGUUCCUACUUUAGACUUGGACAAGGUUGUGUCUGUCAAAUGUCUGCUGCUUGGAGCCGGCACCUUGGGUUGCAAUGUAGCUAGGACGUUGAUG
rnacentral:lncRNA from 1 species